AUACGUAGGGGGCAAGCGUUAUCCGGAUUUACUGGGUGUAAAGGGAGCGUAGACGGAAGGUCAAGUCAGGUGUGAAAGGCAUGGGCUCAACUCAUGGACUGCACUUGAAACUGGUCGUCUUGAGUGUCGGAGGGGCAGGCGGAAUUCCUGGUGUAGCGGUGAAAUGCGUAGAUAUCUGGAAGAACACCGGUGGCGAAGGCGGCCUGCUGGACGAUUACUGACGUUGAGGCUCGAAGGCGUGGGGAGCAAACAGGAUUAGAUACCCUGGUAGUCCACGCAGUAAACGAUGAAUACUAGGUGCUGGUGACCACAGGUCAUCGGUGCCGCCGCUAACGCAUUAAGUAUUCCACCUGGGGAGUACGUUCGCAAGAAUGAAACUCAAAGGAAUUGACGGGG
rnacentral:rRNA from 1 species